rnacentral:rRNA from 1 species
CCUACGGGAGGCAGCAGUGAGGAAUAUUGGUCAAUGGGCGGAAGCCUGAACCAGCCAAGUAGCGUGCGGGAUGAAGGCCCUACGGGUCGUAAACCGCUUUUGCACGGGGAUAACACCCUCCACUUGUGGAGGUCUGCAGGUACCGUGCGAAUAAGGGCCGGCUAAUUCCGUGCCAGCAGCCGCGGUAAUACGGAAGGCCCGAGCGUUAUCCGGAUUCAUUGGGCUUAAAGGGAGCGUAGGCGGUCGUUCAAGUCAGCUGUAAAAGCGCGCGGCUCAACCGCGCCCCGCAGUUGAAACUGGACGCCUUGAGGUCACGACAGGCAGGCGGAAUUCGUGGUGUAGCGGUGAAAUGCAUAGAUAUCACGAGGAACCCCGAUUGCGAAGGCAGCCUGCCGGGGUGCGACUGACGCUGAGGCUCGAAGGUGCGGGUAUCAAACAGGAUUAGAUACCCCUGUAGUC